rnacentral:rRNA from 1 species
CGUAGCUUGCUAUGAUAAAAAUUAGUGGCAGACGGGUGAGUAAUGCAUAGGAAUCUACCUAGUAGUAUGGGAUAGCCACUAGAAAUGGUGGGUAAUACUGUAUAAUCCCUGCGGGGGAAAGAUUUAUCGCUAUUAGAUGAGCCUAUGUUAGAUUAGCUAGUUGGUAGGGUAAAGGCCUACCAAGGCAGUGAUCUAUAGCUGGUCUGAGAGGAUGAUCAGCCACACUGGAACUGAGAUACGGUCCAGACUCCUACGGGAGGCAGCAGUGGGGAAUAUUGGACAAUGGGCGCAAGCCUGAUCCAGCUAUGCCGCGUGAGUGAGGAAGGCCUUAGGGUUGUAAAACUCUUUCAGUGGGGAAGAUAAUGACGGUACCCACAGAAGAAGUCCCGGCAAACUCCGUGCCAGCAGCCGCGGUAAUACGGAGGGGGCAAGCGUUGUUCGGAAUUAUUGGGCGUAAAGGGCAUGUAGGCGGUUCGGUAAGUUAAAGGUGAAAUGCCAGGGCUUAACCCUGGAGCUGCUUUUAAUACUGCCAGACUCGAGUCCGGGAGAGGAUAGCGGAAUUCCUAGUGUAGAGGUGAAAUUCGUAGAUAUUAGGAGGAACACCAGUGGCGAAGGCGGCUAUCUGGUCCGGUACUGACGCUGAGGUGCGAUGAGCGUAGUGAGCAAACAGGAUGAUUAGUAUCCA